GUAGUUGUGGCCGAAUGGUUAAGGCAAUGGACUCGAAAUCCAUUGGGGUCUCCCCGCGCAGGUUCGAGUCCUGCUGACUACG
rfam:Danio rerio chromosome 4, GRCz11 reference primary assembly.